UACGUAGGGGGCUAGCGUUGUCCGGAAUCAUUGGGCGUAAAGCGCGCGUAGGCGGCCCGGUAAGUCCGCUGUGAAAGUCCGAGGCUCAACCUUUGAAUGUCAGCGGAUACUGCCGGGCUAGAGUCCGGAAGAGGCGAGUGGAACUCCUGGUGUAGCGGUGGAAUGCGCAGAUAUCAGGAAGAACACCAGCGGCGAAGGCAGCGCGCUGGGACGGAACUGACGCUAAGGCGCGAAAGCUAGGGGAGCAAACGGG
rnacentral:rRNA from 1 species